CCAUCUAAGGCUAAAUACUUGUGCGAGUCCGAUAGUAAACAAGUACCGUGAGGGAAAGUUGAAAAGAACUU
rnacentral:rRNA from 1 species